AGAGUUUGAUCUCUGGCUCAGGAUGAACGCUGGCGGCGUGCUUAACACAUGCAAGUCGAACGAAGCACUUUAUUUGAUUUCCUUCGGGACUGAUUAUUUUGUGACUGAGUGGCGGACGGGUGAGUAACGCGUGGGUAACCUGCCUUGUACAGGGGGAUAACAGUUGGAAACGGCUGCUAAUACCGCAUAAGCGCACAGCAUCGCAUGAUGCAGUGUGAAAAACUCCGGUGGUAUAAGAUGGACCCACGUUGGAUUAGCUAGUUGGUGAGGUAACGGCCCACCAAGGCGACGAUCCAUAGCCGACCUGAGAGGGUGACCGGCCACAUUGGGACUGAGACACGGCCCAAACUCCUACGGGAGGCAGCAGUGGGGAAUAUUGCACAAUGGGCGAAAGCCUGAUGCAGCGACGCCGCGUGAGCGAAGAAGUAUUUCGGUAUGUAAAGCUCUAUCAGCAGGGAAGAUAAUGACGGUACCUGACUAAGAAGCACCGGCUAAAUACGUGCCAGCAGCCGCGGUAAUACGUAUGGUGCAAGCGUUAUCCGGAUUUACUGGGUGUAAAGGGAGCGCAGGCGGUGCGGCAAGUCUGAUGUGAAAGCCCGGGGCUCAACCCCGGUACUGCAUUGGAAACUGUCGUACUAGAGUGUCGGAGGGGUAAGCGGAAUUCCUAGUGUAGCGGUGAAAUGCGUAGAUAUUAGGAGGAACACCAGUGGCGAAGGCGGCUUACUGGACGAUAACUGACGCUGAGGCUCGAAAGCGUGGGGAGCAAACAGGAUUAGAUACCCUGGUAGUCCACGCCGUAAA
rnacentral:rRNA from 1 species